GAUGAACGCUGGCGGCGUGCCUAAUACAUGCAAGUCGAGCGAACGGACGAGGAGCUUGCUUCGCUGAUGUUAGCGGCGGACGGGUGAGUAACACGUGGAUAACCUACCUAUAAGACUGGGAUAACUUCGGGAAACCGGAGCUAAUACCGGAUAAUAUUUUGAACCGCAUGGUUCAAAAGUGAAAGACGGUCUUGCUGUCACUUAUAGAUGGAUCCGCGCUGUAUUAGCUAGUUGUUAAGGUAACGGCUUACCAAGGCAACUAUGCAUAGCCGACCUGACAGGCUGGUAGCCCACCCUGGAGGUUAACCAGCGUCAAUAGUCCUGCGGGAGGGAGCAGUAUCGUAUCUGCGGCAGUGGGCGAAAGCCUGGCGCAGCGACGCGGCGUGAGUGAUGAAGGCGUUCGGAUCGUAAAGAUGGCUUACUAGGUGAGAACCUAUUUGUAAGGAACUGUGCACAUCUUGACGGUACCUGAUCAGAAAGCCACGGCUAACUACGUG
rnacentral:rRNA from 1 species